UACAGAGGGGGCGAGCGUUGUUCGGAAUUACUGGGCGUAAAGGGCGCGUAGGCGGCCUUCUAAGUCGAACGUGAAAUCCCCGGGCUCAACCCGGGAACUGCGUCCGAUACUGGGAGGCUUGAAUCCGGGAGAGGGAUGUGGAAUUCCAGGUGUAGUGGUGAAAUGCGUAGAGAUCCGGAGGAACACCAGAGGCGAAAGCGGCGUCCUGGGGUGAGGUUGACGCUCAGACACGAAAGCAUGGGGAGCGAACGGG
rnacentral:rRNA from 1 species